rnacentral:rRNA from 1 species
AUUGAACGCUGGCGGCAGGCCUAACACAUGCAAGUCGAACGGUAACAGGAAGCAGCUUGCUGCUUUGCUGACGAGUGGCGGACGGGUGCGUAAUGUCUGGGAAACUGCCCGAUGGAGGGGGAUAACUACUGGAAACGGUAGCUAAUACCGCAUAACGUCGCAAGACCAAAGAGGGGGACCUUAGGGCCUCUUGCCAUCGGAUGUGCCCAGAUGGGAUUAGCUAGUAGGUGGGGUAACGGCUCACCUAGGCGACGAUCCCUAGCUGGUCUGAGAGGAUGACCAGCCACACUGGAACUGAGACACGGUCCAGACUCCUACGGGAGGCAGCAGUGGGGAAUAUUGCACAAUGGGCGCAAGCCUGAUGCAGCCAUGCCGCGUGUAUGAAGAAGGCCUUCGGGUUGUAAAGUACUUUCAGCGGGGAGGAAGGGAGUAAAGUUAAUACCUUUGCUCAUUGACGUUACCCGCAGAAGAAGCACCGGCUAACUCCGUG